rnacentral:rRNA from 1 species
UACGUAGGGUGCAAGCGUUGUCCGGAAUCAUUGGGCGUAAAGCGCGCGUAGGUGGCCUCGUAAGUCCGCUGUGAAAGUCAAAGGCUCAACCUUUGAAAGCCGGUGGAUACUGUGGGGCUAGAGUACGGAAGAGGCGAGUGGAAUUCCUGGUGUAGCGGUGGAAUGCGCAGAUAUCAGGAGGAACACCGGUGGCGAAGGCGGGUCUCUGGGCCGAUACUGACGCUGAGGAGCGAAAGCGUGGGGAGCGAACAGG